UCUAAGGCAUGAUAGGAGGGGCGCAGCUGGAGGCAAGCCAGCGUGGACAGUUUUAAGCAGAAUAACUCACGAACGACACUUUGACAAAUACGUGAGUAUGUUCAGCAUUUAUUUAAUUGAUCCACAGUAAAAUACAACUCGUGGUUAGGGUCAGUGAAUAAUGUUGGGCACACUACUAUUUGGAAUUGUAUCGAUCAUCCGUGAAGAGCUGCGAUUAGAUAUACCCUUGAGGGUGCUGGGGCCGAACGGAGCGUGUACUGAAAUCAAAAUAAAACAAGAAAAUUGUUCUGAUCAGCAUCAUUAAAGUUUAUCAGGUGUUAACCCAAAAUUGAAAAAAAUAUGGAAAGGAUCAGAAUUCAUUGAAAUGUUGUAGGCAAAGCAUAGCGUGCUGCUCCAGGGACGGCUACGUAACAUCACAUCUUCAGCGUGGAACAUUUGAUCCCUGUCUCUAGGUGUUUAAAUGUUCUCGCGGCAUUUGAGAAGAUUUCCUCCAGCAGGCCGAACAUGUGAAUGAGGUGAACUGGUGCUUCCAAAUUGAAGUGCAAAUUUCUAAAACUCACUGAAUUUGUUGUUUUUGAGAUGAAACUGCCAAUGGCCUAAAGUCAGGCUUCCUCAUCAUAUGUUACAGUAUGGAAAACCCAAACGUCCUCAUGUAAUCCAAUGAAGAAUAUUCAUUUCAUUUCUUCAACUUACUUGAAGUACAUGGAAAAUGUGUCCUGUGAACAGAGGUUUGGGAAUUUAUUUUUCAUUUGGUCAUUGUCAGUGUGUGUUCUUAGCCUAGGAUAGGCUGACAUUUUGUGCAGUGUGCUCCCUGUUUUGUUCCCUGCGCAUUCUGGGAUAGGCUUCAGGCGCACCAUGACCCUGUACUGCAUAAGCAGUAUGGAAAAAUGGAUGGAUGUAGACAAGGCGUAUCCCAUAAAAACACCCACACUCCCUCGGCUGUCUGGCCUCCUCCAAUGUCUCCAGCCUGACCGGCAUUUCUUCUACAUUCCUCUGCAUUCCAAACCAACAAAGCACAUUCCGGAGCAUUUCUGUGAGUUGUCCACUUCACCACGGCGACAAGGGUCACCGCCCAUGUCCCUGAGUCACUUGUCGUUAUUUUCAACACUCUGAAAACGAACGGGGAAACAACUGAUUUUUAUCACAUCCUUUUAUCGAAUCCACCUUUUUUAAUGAAGAGAAAAAAUUGCCGGUAGAUAAGAUUCCGUUUCUGUGAAAUCAGCUCACAAGGACAUCCAGAUGCCAUCGACAGGGAAUUGCACUGGCGAGAGUUCGGCAGGAUGUCGACGUCUUGUGCAAAUCAAUUGCUGCUGCUCUGAGUCCCUAGCGCUGCUGUGGCCUGCUUUAUCUGGAACCAAGAAUGGGACUGUUGCUCUUAUCGUAAGCCCCUUAACAGACCCUGUCUGAUUAAAUGAUGUGUUAAUUAAAGACCUCAUCUGGCACCUCUUGUCUCUGCAAUUCUACCUGCCAGUGAGGGAACAUGAGUGGAUCGAACCAUUCUAUUAAAUGGACUGAACCAUUCAUUUGGCAGACAAUGUAUGGAAAAUGUAUGGAUGACAACCGUCUUUGUGUGCUUCAUUCAGGAAUGAGUUCAUCCUUUCGUGGUUUACUUAUAGAGGUCUUUAUGGAGUAAAAGUGCUUUAGCAAGAGAUGGUGAUUGUGUUAAAUGUCUUCAUAUGGCAUGCAAGAGGUUUAUAGCACAGGGUAGGUAACACAUACACUGUAAUAUUAUUCAUUCCUCUAUUCCUUUGCAUUUUAUUCAUUUAGCAAGCACUUUAAUGCUAAGUGACAUAUGUUUUUGAGAAAGCAAGGUGAGACAGCCCCUGGAGCAAUUGACAGUUAAAGGCCUUGCUCAAGGGCCCAAUGGUGACAUCAUUCUCCCAACCAUGGGAUAUGAACCAGCAAGUUUCUGCUCAAAAGCACACCAUCCUACCUCAUUGAACCACACACCAUGCUUGGAAACUUUCUGACUGUUACUAACAAAGGCAUAGCCAUGGGGAAAUGAAGUCGAAGGCUCCGGAACCUGUUUUUUUAUUCCAGAAUUCUAGAAGGCAGAGCAACGUUAACUGCUUGUGUUGUUUGUGGCCUCUCUGGGCUCCGCGAGCCCCGUGGUUCCGCCAGUCUCCGUGGUUAACCGCACAGAGACCCACGGGUUUUAUCCUUGAGACACGUUCCUCUGACAUUUCCUGCCAGUGGAUCUUUGGUUCCGCCUAGGGGCACGAGGACCGACCUCAUCACAACGACACCAUUCAUUAGGUCUACCAUCCCCCCUUCAGCUCCUCUGAAUGCAAGCACCAAAGAACAGCAGAACAAAAACAUAGGUCACGGCCUCGGGACGUGGCCGACUGCUGCAACUCUUUGCCGUCUCCAUCCAAGCCUCUUUUAAGCGGUUUAUUUGCAUAUAUUGUUUCUUUGGGCCAAUCAGAGCCUGGUGUACACUUGCUGGUGGAACGAGGUCCAACCCUCUCAUGGGAUUGAGAAGUUCUAUGAAUGGCAGUUUCAGAAGUUUAUUUUCUUCCAGGGAACAAUUAAUUGAGCAAUUAGCUGGUGUGGUGCUUUGCCAAUACACUCGAGUGCAGUAUAUGUGAUGGCACUGUCUCUUGUCUUGUGUAAACUGUUCAAAUUGUAUCAGAGGUCAUGGGUCAAAAAAUGUCAAUAAAUGACAGUGGUGUCCAACCUUAUUUACAGUGACAGCUACUUCUGCAAAUAAUAUUGCGGGGAGUUACGUGUUUGAUAUAACAAGAUUUAAAUUGGGGUGGGGGGUGGUGUUGACACUAAAUCUUGUAAGAUGGUCACUUUGGGAGGUCUUUGAGCUUUGUUCUUGUCUUAUCCAUGAACACAGAAACAUCCUACAUGUAGCCCAGAAUGUGAGGGAAUGGCUUUGUGGAAAUUCUGUGGAUGUAUUGCUAAGAGAACAGGAUCGGCUACUUAUUGUUUUGAACUGGUUUGGAUCAGGGUUCCCGGAUAAUCUAUUACCAUUAAGUACAUUUGCAGUGUGAUCAUUGAUUGUCUGCAGUGGAAUAGCAAUCACUGCAAAACUGUAACAGCUGGAAACAUCUGCCAGCGCUACACCUGCGGUUAGAACAUAAUUCUGGAAUAAUUCUGUUUUUCAAAAGCAGGAUGGAACAUAGGCUUAAUAUUCCAUUUAUUGUGGACUACAAAAACAACCGCUACAAUGUUGUCAUUAAUCGUCCAUUUAAUGGUGCAAAAGGGUAGAUGAUGCUGAUGCCCCCUGACCAGCAUGCCAACAUGGGAGAGGAUCCCCACCCAGGGUGUCCCCUGCCUCGUGCCAUGUGACGGACUGGCAUCCCACCCAGGGAGUCCCCUGCCUCGUGCCAUGUGACGGACUGGCAUCCCACCCAGGGUGUCCCCUGCCUCGUGCCCUGUGACGGGCUGGCAUCCCACCCAGGGUGUCCCCUGCCAGGGUGUCAUGCCUUGUGCUGCCUGGGAUAAGCCUCAGACUCACCUCGACCCUGCAUCAGUUAAGCAUUACAGAACAUGGACAAAUGGAUGGAAAAUGUAGCCUGAAUAAAUAUUUUGUUCUUUAUAAUACAAA